UACGUAGGGUGCGAGCGUUAAUCGGAAUUACUGGGCGUAAAGCGUGCGCAGGCGGUGAGCUGUGUCCGAUGUGAAAGCCCCCCGGCUCAACCGGGGAGAGUCGUCGGGGACCGCACCGCUUGAGGGCGGUAGGGGCUGGUGGAAUGCCUGGUGGUAGUGGUGAAAUGCGUAGAGAUGAGGCAGAACACCUGGGGCGAAGGCGGCCAGCUGGGCCGUCCCUGCGCUGAGGCGCGAAGGCGUGGGGAGCGAACGGGAUUGAGA
rnacentral:rRNA from 1 species